AUAUGUUCUUCGUGAACAUGGCGUACUGCUCAGUAACACGUGGAUAACCUGCCCUUGGGUCCGGCAUAACCCCGGGAAACUGGGGAUAAUUCCGGAUAACGCACAUAUGCUGGAAUGCUUUAUGCGUCAAAUGGAUUCGUCUGCCCAAGGAUGGGUCUGCGGCCUAUCAGGUAGUAGUGGGUGUAAUGUACCUACUAGCCGACGACGGGUACGGGUUGUGAGAGCAAGAGCCCGGAGAUGGAUUCUGAGACAUGAAUCCAGGCCCUACGGGGCGCAGCAGGCGCGAAAACUUUACAAUGCGGGGAACCGUGAUAAGGGGACACCGAGUGCCAGCAUCAUAUGCUGGCUGUCCGGGUGUGUAAAAUACACCUGUUAGCAAGGGCCGGGCAAGACCGGUGCCAGCCGCCGCGGUAACACCGGCGGCCCGAGUGGUGAUCGUGAUUAUUGGGUCUAAAGGGUCCGUAGCCGGUUUGGUCAGUCCUCCGGGAAAUCUGACGGCUUAACCGUUAGGCUUUCGGAGGAUACUGCCAGGCUUGGAACCGGGAGAGGUAAGAGGUACUACAGGGGUAGGAGUGAAAUCUUGUAAUCCCUGUGGGACCACCUGUGGCGAAGG
rnacentral:rRNA from 1 species